GACGAACGCUGGCGGCGUGCCUAAUACAUGCCAGUAGAACGCACAGUUUAUACCGUAGCUUGCUACACCAUAGACUGUGAGUUGCGAACGGGUGAGUAACGCGUAGGUAACCUGCCUGGUAGCGGGGGAUAACUAUUGGAAACGAUAGCUAAUACCGCAUAAUAUUAAUUAUUGCAUGAUAAUUAAUUGAAAGGUGCAAUUGCACCACUACCAGAUGGACCUGCGUUGUAUUAGCUAGUAGGUGAGGUAACGGCUCACCUAGGCGACGAUACAUAGCCGACCUGAGAGGGUGAUCGGCCACACUGGGACUGAGACACGGCCCAGACUCCUACGGGAGGCAGCAGUAGGGAAUCUUCGGCAAUGGACGAAAGUCUGACCGAGCAACGCCGCGUGAGUGAAGAAGGUUUUCGGAUCGUAAAGCUCUGUUGUAAGGGAAGAACGGGUGUGAGAGUGGAAAGUUCACACUGUGACGGUAUCUUACCAGAAAGGGACGGCUAACUACGUG
rnacentral:rRNA from 1 species